UGGACCGUGUACAAGUCUCCUGGAAGGGAGCGUCAUAGAGGGUGAGAAUCCCGUCUUUGACACGGACUGCCAGUGCUAUGUGAUGCGCUCUCGACGAGUCGAGUUGUUUGUGAAUGCAGCUCAAAAUGGGUGGUAAAUUCCAUCUAAAGCUAAAUACAGGCGAGAGACCGAUAGCGAACAAGUACCGUGAGGGAAAGACGAAAAGAACUUUGGAAAGAGAGUUAAACAGUACGUGAAAUUGCUGAAAGGGAAACGCUUGAUGUCAGUCGCGUUCGCCAGGGAUCAACCUAGCUUGAUUGCUUGGUGCAUUUCUUGGUCGAACGGGUCAGCAUCAGUUUCGAUCGAGGUAUAAUGGCGGAGGGAAUGUGGCACCUCUAGGGGUGUGUUAUAGACUUUCGUCGUAUGCUUGGGUGGGGACUGAGGAACUCGACACAGACUUUCNAGUCUUGUGUCUAGGAUGCUGGCAUAAUGGCCUUAAGCGACCCGUCUUGAAACACGGACCAAGGAGUCUAACAUGCCUGCGAGUGUUUGAGUGAUGAAA
rnacentral:rRNA from 1 species